AGGAAAGNCAGGGGAUCGCAAGACCUUGCGCUUUUGGAGCGGCCGAUGUCUGAUUAGCUAGUUGGUGAGGUAAAGGCUUACCAAGGCUUCGAUCAGUAGCUGGUCUGAGAGGACGACCAGCCACACUGGGACUGAGACACGGCCCAGACUCCUACGGGAGGCAGCAGUGGGGAAUUUUGGACAAUGGGGGAAACCCUGAUCCAGCCAUGCCGCGUGAGUGAAGAAGGCCUUCGGGUUGUAAAGCUCUUUCAGCCGGAACGAAAAGGUUACGGUUAAUACCCGUGACUAAUGACGGUACCGGAAGAAGAAGCACCGGCUAACUACGUGCCAGCAGCCGCGGUAAUACGUAGGGUGCGAGCGUUAAUCGGAAUUACUGGGCGUAAAGCGUGCGCAGGCGGUUUUGUAAGUCAGAUGUGAAAUNCCCCGGGCUCAACACUGGGAACUGCGUUUGAAACUACAAAGCU
rnacentral:rRNA from 1 species